GACGAACGCUGGCGGCGUGCCUAAUACAUGCAAGUCGAGCGAGCGGAACUAACAGAUUUACUUCGGUAAUGACGUUAGGAAAGCGAGCGGCGGAUGGGUGAGUAACACGUGGGGAACCUGCCCCAUAGUCUGGGAUACCACUUGGAAACAGGUGCUAAUACCGGAUAAGAAAGCAGAUCGCAUGAUCAGCUUUUAAAAGGCGGCGUAAGCUGUCGCUAUGGGAUGGCCCCGCGGUGCAUUAGCUAGUUGGUAAGGUAAAGGCUUACCAAGGCGAUGAUGCAUAGCCGAGUUGAGAGACUGAUCGGCCACAUUGGGACUGAGACACGGCCCAAACUCCUACGGGAGGCAGCAGUAGGGAAUCUUCCACAAUGGACGCAAGUCUGAUGGAGCAACGCCGCGUGAGUGAAGAAGGUUUUCGGAUCGUAAAGCUCUGUUGUUGGUGAAGAAGGAUAGAGGUAGUAACUGGCCUUUAUUUGGCGGUAAUCAACCAGAAAGUCACGGCUAACUACGUGCCAGCCGCCGCAGUAA
rnacentral:rRNA from 1 species